UGGGGAAUAUUGCACAAUGGGCGAAAGCCUGAUGCAGCAACGCCGCGUGAGGGACGACGGCCUUCGGGUUGUAAACCUCUUUUAGCAAGGAAGAAGCGAAAGUGACGGUACUUGCAGAAAAAGCGCCGGCUAACUACGUGCCAGCAGCCGCGGUAAUACGUAGGGCGCAAGCGUUAUCCGGAAUUAUUGGGCGUAAAGAGCUCGUAGGCGGUUUGUCGCGUCUGCUGUGAAAACCCGAGGCUCAACCUCGGGCCUGCAGUGGGUACGGGCAGACUAGAGUGCGGUAGGGAGAUUGGAACUCCUGGUGUAGCGGUGGAAUGCGCAGAUAUCAGGAAGAACACCGAUGGCGAAGGCAGAUCUCUGGGCCGUAACUGACGCUGAGGAGCGAAAGGGUGGGGAGCAAACAGGCUUAGAUACCCUGGUAGUCCACCCGUAAACGUUGGGAACUAGUUGUGGGUCCAUUCCACGGAUUCCGUGACGCAGCUAACGCAUUAAGUUCCCCGCCUGGGGAGUACGGCCGCAAGGCUAAACUCAAAUGAAUUGACGGGGUCAUAGCUGUUUCCU
rnacentral:rRNA from 1 species